rnacentral:lncRNA from 1 species
CUGGGUUCAAGUAAGUCUCAUGUCUCAGCCUCCUGAGCAGCUGGGAUUACAGGUGCCUGCCACAACACAGCUCAUUUUUGUGUUUAGUAGAGAUGGGGUUUCACCACAUUGGUCAGGCUGGUCUUGAACUCCUGACCUCAAGUGAUCCACCCACCUUGGCCUCCACAGUCACUUUCUAAUUUUUCCCAAGUACAUAGCUGUUUUUGAAUGUCUGGCUCCUAUACAUUUUUUACUGUCUGGCUCCUAUAGGGGGAAGAGAAAAUUGAAGGAGGGUCAAGGGCGCUGACUCCUUCAAUGCCCUGGAAGUUGCUUCUCCUGGAGGAAAGGGGCUUGUAGCCAUGCGGGAACGGUAACAAUGGCUGCUCGCCUAUUUGCACCCUCUGUAAGAAGAAGCAUCCAUUGCUGAUCAGAGAACAGGUCCCUGACAUUUGGAGGAUGGGUGCUUUCUGCGCAUCCUGGGUUCUGCAGGCCCUGUGCAGACCACUUUUGAAAGCUUGCCACAGCUACCUUGGAUGGUAAACUCCAGCUCUUUCUAGCUGAGUAACCACUGACCUGUGAGCUGGGUCCAGGAAUGCUGUGAGGAACAACUUAAAAGGAUCCCCCUCAUUGGGAAAAUGGAAAUGGCGUCCAGUACUUCUGCACAGAAUUUGGUAAAGUUAAAACAGAAUAUCUUUCAAUAAAACAUAAUAUAGUAUUUGUUUGAUAAUUAGAGUUGGAAGAAAAAAGAGAAUUUCUUUU